UUAUAGUCGUUGUACUCUAUUGUUAUAAUAUGUCUUUUUGACUGAAUAUAUGUUUGCUUUAUUUGUCUAUAUCCUAGAUCCGCAGCUGGACACAUCCUUCUACACUGUAUGCAAACAUGCAACAUCAUUACACACAGUACAAGGAGUCAGACUGGCAUGUGAGGAGCAAAGGAACCCAGGCAGUAGCAUCGUUUCACAAUGUUUCCAUCACCAUCAUCAGUGGAUGCCUUUGCCGUCCGUAGCCUGAGAUUUCAGAUUUGCAGCAAAAAAAUUUGAUUUUCUCAUUUAUUGGAAUGCUGUGCAGGUAUUUGUACCUUGCAGCCAUCCAUUACAAUGUCACCAAGCCGUAACAAAAGCAGGAGAGGGAAAGUACAAGGCUAUGUUCCCAAAACACACAAGUGACAUACCUUAUGUGGAUGAUGUGAUCAGGCUUGUGUUUGAUGAGGUACAGUAUUUGAAGAUAAGCUGAAGGAAAC